GAUGAACGCUGGCGGCGUGCCUAAUACAUGCAAGUCGAGCGAACAGACGAGAGUGCUUGCACUCUCUGACGUUAGCGGCGGACGGGUGAGUAACACGUGGGUAACCUACCUAUAAGACUGGGAUAACUUCGGCAAACCGGAGCUAAUACCGGAUAAUAUUUAGCUUCGCAUGAAGCAAUAGUGAAAGACGGUUCUGCUGUCACUUAUAGAUGGACCCGCGGUGUAUUAGCUAGUUGGUGAGGUAACGGCUCACCAAGGCAACGAUACAUAGCCGACCUGGGAGGGUGAUCGGCCACACUGGGACUGAGACACGGCCCAGACUCCUACGGGAGGCAGCAGUAGGGAAUCUUCCGCAAUGGACGAAAGUCUGACGGAGCAAUGCCGCGUGAGUGAAGAAGGUUUUCGGAUCGUAAAACUCUGUUGUAAGGGAAGAACAAGUACGUUAGUAACUGAACGUACCUUGACGGUACCUUACCAGAAAGCCACGGCUAACUACGUG
rnacentral:rRNA from 1 species